rnacentral:lncRNA from 1 species
CCGCAUAGGUUUUCUCAGAUCACUCAUUAUCUUUUAUAUAUCUCACUGAGGCUGUUUUAAUUUGCAAAAAUUCUCAAGCAUACUUACUUUGCAUUUAUUGCCUGAUCAAAACGGGAUCCGAGGAGGGGAAUGUCAUACUCUUAGAUCAAAGACUUUGGAAAUUAAAAUCUUUGUCAACUAUUGCUGGCAUAUUGCUUAUUAGAGGGACCAUGGGCUCUCAUUUCUUUUUCUUCUCUUUUUUUUAAGUGGAUACCGAGGUAUCCCUAAUUCUACUGUCGGACACUUGUCCAUUUUUUCUGUGAGGUUAUCGAGCACUUGCUCCUUUUUAUUUCCUCGAAAUAUCUUUAUUUUUGCAUAGCCCAUGCCUCUAAUGCAAUAAUACUUCGGAAGAGUGAAUCUUUCUAAAUAAAUGUCUUGAUCUUAGGGGCAUG